rnacentral:misc_RNA from 1 species
UAGGUUUGGAGAGGCGAGAUGAUUCACAUUACUAGCCCCAACACCACAUCAACAAAAUUGAAAUACAUGCCUAGCCUUCAGAAUCAGAUACAGGAUUUCAAAUACUCAACAGAAUCCAGUUGUUCAUACUUUGUAUCCAGAUAAAGUAGAUUUUCAACAAGCAAUGAAAAGACGAAUUGCACUAGAGUAAAAAGCGUGUAAUGGAACUACAAAUCGAAGAAUUUUGAGAGGCAUUUUUGGAUUACUCAUCCAUCAUCAUUCAUGAUACUAACACAACAUGUUUUAUUUCUAUGAAGAUUUAUCACAUAACAAAAUCUCCCUGUUCACGAGGAAUUCAUAAACGUGGUCGUUAAAAUUAUAAUAAUGAUAUUCGCCUUCACAGAAGAAUGUUGAACAUGUGCAGCCGUGGAAGUAUGCAAAGCAGGUUGCCAGGGGUGACAUCAAAUGCUCAAUUACUUCGGAGUUAGUCUGAUUGGACAGACAGAAAAUGCAAUGCAACGAGCUGCUUUUGCUAGCAUAAAACGUUCAUUUUCUGUCAAUGGCCUCUCAAUCACCUUGAUAAUGUUGGCAUCCUUCUUUUGUUGUUGAAUAGAAGGCCUCACACUUGCAGUAUCACUAACCACAAUUACAUUGUUGAUAUUUCCCCUUUCAUCCCUUUCUGUUGGUGAAGCUGUUGAAUGCCGCCAUUGCCCAUUAAUGAUGUACUUAUAGUAGUACUUUCCUUGAGGAAGUCUAACUUCAACUUCGUAUCUUGGACCACCCAUGUGACUUGCCUUCAUUGGUUCUUUCCAACUUCCAGUGAAAUCUCCAACCAGGGAUACAUCUUCUCCCUUUCAUGCAGAGGCAGACAAACAAGUUGUUCUAUGAUCAGUUUGCUUCAUUUAGACAAUGGAAUUGAAGCUUACAUACCACAUACUUCUUUACAAAUUAGUCCAAUUCCAGUACCAUAUAAAGAAAAACAGUGGCAUUUCUUUUAUUUUGAGUUCCAAGUCAGGAGUCACCUCUUGACUAUUCCACACAAAAGUCACAGCAUGUGUUGCUGGUCCGUCAUGUCUGCCACCUUCCACCAUAGCUACAAGAUCCCACGUUGCCCAAGCAAUUGCCGGCCUAUCAGGUCUGCAUGAGUGCAAUCCGGUGACAAAGUUAUAUGCGGCAUGAAGGGAUGUAUCAGUUAUCCAGUGAAGGUAUGCUAUCACACAAGCAGGAGAUCGAUCAAAGCCAGUUGUACAAGUGACAAAAACUCGAUGAUUCUUUUUCAAUAAGCGCAAUAGAAGCCCCACAGAAAAUGGUAAUUUCUUCCUCAGGUCAAAGGAAUCUGUAUCUUUUAUAGGAAAGUUGAUCAUUAGAAUAUUAAAUCUUUGGCAUGACUCAUUGAUUGAACCAGAAUUUAUUCCCCAGUUUUCUGCUUCAAUACGACUCUGGAAAUUGAGUACAGCAGUGACUCCCACAUUUGACAACUUUUCCACAUCAGCUUCAGUUUGUAUACAAGAUCCAACAUAUAUUUGCUCUGUUAUCUUACUAUAAUUGGUACCAAGCCUAUGAUUGUAGUGCAGCUCGCCUUUAGAACGAUGUAGUGCAUUGAUAUACUCAUCCAGAGGAAAACUUCCGUAAGCCCAUUCUCCAUCUUUAGACUCCCCCUCAGGAAAAACACAAACAAAUGGGCUCACAGGAGGACGAAGGGUUUUCUCUGCUGGUGAUUCCACAUAUCCAUUUUGAUCAUUCAAAAGCUUCCAUCCAUGGGGUGCUAAAAACUUGGAGGAAAAUGCUACGAAACCAGAAUUCUCACUCCCUUCAGAAGAAGUUUUCAAAUUAGACGAUAGGAUAGCUUUGUUCCAAGUAGCAAUAGAAACCCGCCCUCUAUUGAACAUUAAGUCUAUAUCACUCAAAACUUGUAAUUGGUGGAUUGGAAAAGGGGAAAAGGGUCGCUCGAGGAUCAAGCUAAAAGAUCCAUUCUUCUCCAACAGCAUCUUCUGCGCAUCGCCAAAAUCGCUGAACACAAAAAUCCUGCCGCUGGACAAAUUGGUGGCCUUCUUCAAUGUGUCACCCACGAUAACUAUCCUGGACCUCUCCGCAUUGCCCCCUUUCUUAAGAGCGUGAACGAAGAUUUUGCCAUCGACGGAGAGACCAAACCGGAUACCGAAAGGUUUCUCAAGAGUGACCAUGUACUCAUUGAGAUUCAUCUUAAAGGAGGAACCGUUGCCAUUAGUGGACAUUGUAUAAACCCUAAGAGUUCCUUUACCAAGGCGAAGAACCUUCCUAUUCUCUUUCUUGGAGGUGGAGAUGGAGACGCCAUUAACGAAGCACAGAUCUCUGCCCCAGAAAGAAGAGGAGGAAGCUGCAGAAGGGAGAGAAUGCAGAGCUCUGCUGCAACCAGGAAGUUGCAGGGAGGACAUUUUGCGAGAAGAAACAGUGUUCUCGAUCGCGGAAUUUGGGCAAUUGAAGCGAUUAGUGAAUAGUGUUGGUUUAUGGAGAUUGAUGAGGAGAGAUUGAUGAAGAGAGAGAAGAGAGAAAGAG